rnacentral:lncRNA from 1 species
UUUUCUUUCUGAUCUGUUGACGCGCUGAGGUUUACAGGAGUUUUUUUUGUUUUUGUCUCCCUCUAGUGUUUGGUAUGAAUAAUGCAGCUCCAUCACGUCGCUGUUCCCAAACUUUAUAGUUGUUUUUCUGACUAAAGAAAGUUGAAAAAAAAGUCAAAACGAGUUUCUUCUUCGGGUGGUGCAUGUCAGAAGGUUCUGCUGCUCCGCCGGUUCUGGUUCUGACCGUCUGAACUUUGAGUUCCUUCCCCGGCUGUGAUGCACAUUCCGGGAUUUGCAUACAGAGGAGCGGCGCGCCUCCCUCUCUGGGCUGGUUCUCUCCGUGCGGUGCGCAGAAGUUUUUCCAGCAGAGGAAAGGAAACAGUCCGGUUCGGAUCAGGCCCCUAGAAGAACUCCGGACAGAACUUUCGGAUCCCGGUCCAACUUCUCCCUCUCUCACACAAAGGUCUGACAUGUCGCUCCAGACGAGCGAGAAGACGACGCGGACCUUCCGGACGGUGGACGUGCGCUCCUCGGAACCGGUCACCACCACCAUGACUUUGGGUCGAGUUCCCCCCAAGACGCAGACGGUGCAGGCGAUGCCGUACGCGCUCAACGGCUCCUACGACUCCGUGCGCUACCUGGUGCCGGUACAGCAGUCGGUGCCGCAGCAGUCCUUCAUGGUCAUGCAGCAGCAGCCGGUCAUGCAGUCCGUCAUGCAGCAGCAGCCGGUCAUGCAGUCCGUCAUGCAGCCGGUCAUGCAGCCGGUCAUGCAGCCGAUGGUGCAGCCGGUGGUGCAGCAGUCCGUCAUGCGCCCCAUGGUGCAGCCCAUGUACGUGCAGACCCUCCCGCGCGUCCGAACCGCCACGCAGGAGUCCGACCUGCUGGUCCAGAGGAGUACAGUGGAGACCAACAGCAGGAAGUCCUCAUCUUCUCAAGUGUUCAGCCAGUCGUCCAGUCCCACCAAGAGUCCUGCGCCGAGCUAUGAGGAAGAGGUGAGAGCACAAAACUGCACAGCAAGUUAAAACUCCUCUGAUUGGGUGAAAAACAAUCAUUUUAAUGUUUGAACUCCAAUUAGGAAUUCCACUGACUAAAAACAGUCAAGAAAAGGGAUUGUUUUGCAGAUUUAGAAAGAAUAAUUUAGAGAAAAUCAAACAGUGUGGUUGAAAUUCACAGAUUUGUGCUAUUUUAUGCUUUACUUGACUGUUUCCUGUCAAUUUUACCACAGUUUCCUGUUGCCGUGACUACCUAUAACAAUAUAUGUGUUG